GACGAACGCUGGCGGCGUGCUUAACACAUGCAAGUCGAACGGUAAGGCCCUUCGGGGGUACACGAGUGGCGAACGGGUGAGUAACACGUGGGUGAUCUGCCCUGCACUUCGGGAUAAGCCUGGGAAACUGGGUCUAAUACCGGAUAGGACCACUGCCUGCAUGGGUGGUGGUGGAAAGCUUUUGCGGUGUGGGAUGGGCCCGCGGCCUAUCAGCUUGUUGGUGGGGUGCUGGCCUACCAAGGCGACGACGGGUAGCCGGCCUGAGAGGGUGACCGGCCACACUGGGACUGAGAUACGGCCCAGACUCCUACGGGAGGCAGCAGUGGGGAAUAUUGCACAAUGGGCGCAAGCCUGAUGCAGCGACGCCGCGUGAGGGAUGACGGCCUUCGGGUUGUAAACCUCUUUCAGCACCGACGAAGCGCAAGUGACGGUAGGUGCAGAAGAAGGACCGGCCAACUACGUGCCAGCAGCCGCCGCAG
rnacentral:rRNA from 1 species